rnacentral:rRNA from 1 species
UACAGAGGGGGCAAGCGUUAUUCGGAAUUAUUGGGCGUAAAGGGCGCGUAGGCGGCCUGGCAAGUGGAUGGUGAAAUCCCUCGGCUUAACCGAGGAACUGCCAUCCAGACUGCUUGGCUUGAGACCGGGAGAGGUGAGUGGAAUUCCCAGUGUAGCGGUGAAAUGCGUAGAUAUUGGGAGGAACACCAGUGGCGAAGGCAGCUCACUGGACCGGUACUGACGCUGAGGCGCGAAAGCGUGGGGAGCAAACGGG